rnacentral:rRNA from 1 species
AGAACGAACGCUGGCGGCACGCCUAACACAUGCAAGUCGAGCGCCCAGCAAUGGGAGCGGCGGACGGGUGAGGAACACGUGGGAACAUGCCUUUCGGUUCGGCACAACUGCGGGAAACUGCAGCUAAUUCCGGAUACGCCCUUACGGGGAAAGAUUUAUCGCCGAAAGAUUGGCCCGCGUCUGAUUAGCUAGUUGGUGAGGUAAUGGCUCACCAAGGCUUCGAUCAGUAGCUGGUUUGAGAGAACGACCAGCCACACUGGGACUGAGACACGGCCCAGACUCCUACGGGAGGCAGCAGUGGGGAAUCUUGGACAAUGGAGGAAACUCUGAUCCAGCGAUGCCGCGUGAGUGAUGAAGGCCUUCGGGUUGUAAAACUCGUUUCGACGGGGACGAUAAUGACGGUACCCGUAGAAGAAGCUCCGGCUAACUUCGUGCCAGCAGCCGC